AGUGAACGCUGGCGGUAGGCCUAACACAUGCAAGUCGAACGGCAGCACAGGAGAGCUUGCUCUCUGGGUGGCGAGUGGCGGACGGGUGAGGAAUACAUCGGAAUCUACUUUUUCGUGGGGGAUAACGUAGGGAAACUUACGCUAAUACCGGAUACGACAUUCGGGUGAAAGCAGGGGACCUUCGGGCCUUGCGCGAUUAAAUGAGCCGAUGUCGGAUUAGCUAGUUGGCGGGGUAAAGGCCCACCAAGGCGACGAUCCGUAGCUGGUUUGAGAGGAUGAUCAGCCACACUGGAACUGAGCCACGGUCCAGACUCCUACGGGAGGCAGCAGUGGGGAAUAUUGGACAAUGGGCGCAAGCCUGAUCCAGCCAUACCGCGUGGGUGAAGAAGGCCUUCGGGUUGUAAAGCCCUUUUGUUGGGAAAGAAAAGCAGUCGGUUAAUGCCCGAUUGUUCUGACGGUACCCAAAGAAUAAGCACCGGCUAACUUCGUGCCAGCAGCCGCCGUAAGAC
rnacentral:rRNA from 1 species